rnacentral:rRNA from 1 species
CGUGUAGGCGGUUUGGUAAGUCAGAUGUGAAAGCUCCGGGCUUAACCCGGAAAGUGCGUUUGAAACCGCCAGACUUGAGUGCGGGAGAGGAAGGUGGAAUUCCCAGUGUAGAGGUGAAAUUCGUAGAUAUUGGGAGGAACACCGGUGGCGAAGGCGACCUUCUGGACCGUCACUGACGCUGAGACGCGAAAGCGUGGGGAGCGAACAGGAUUAGAUACCCUGGUAGUCC